UGCGUAGGUGGGCAGGUAAGUCAGUGGUGAAAUCUCCGGGCUUAACCCGGAAACUGCCGUUGAUACUAUCUGUCUUAAAUGCCGUGGAGGUGAGCGGAAUAUGUCAUGUAGCGGUGAAAUGCUUAGAUAUGACAUAGAACACCAAUUGCGUAGGCAGCUCGCUACACGGUUAUUGACGCUGAGGCACGAAAGCGUGGGGAUCAAACAGGAUUAGAUACCCUGGUAGUCCACGCCCUAAACGAUGAUCACUCGACAUCAGCGAUACACUGUUGGUGUCUGAGCGAAAGCAUUAAGUGAUCCACCUGGGAAGUACGACCGCAAGGUUGAA
rnacentral:rRNA from 1 species